rnacentral:tRNA from 1 species
GGCCCUGGCUCAGGGGUAGAGCGUUAGCUUUGCUUGCAGAAAGACCCAGGUUCGAUUCCUGGCAUUUCCA